rnacentral:rRNA from 1 species
GAUGAACGCGGCGGCGUGCUUAACACAUGCAAGUCGAACGAAGCUGCCUGGAGGAAGUUUUCGGAUGGAAUUUAGGUAGACUUAGUGGCGGACGGGUGAGUAACGCGUGGAUAACCUGCCUUAUACAGGGGGAUAACGGAGAGAAAUUUCCGCUAACACCGCAUAAGACCACAGCACCGCAUGGUGCAGGGGUAAAAUAUUUAUAGGUGUAAGAUGGAUCCGCGUCCGAUUAGCUAGUUGGUGAGGUAAAGGCCCACCAAGGCGACGAUCGGUAGCCGGCCUGAGAGGGUGAACGGCCACAUUGGGACUGAGACACGGCCCAAACUCCUACGGGAGGCAGCAGUGGGGAAUAUUGGACAAUGGGGGAAACCCUGAUCCAGCGACGCCGCGUGAGUGAAGAAGUAUUUCGGUAUGUAAAGCUCUAUCAGCAGGGAAGAAAAUGACGGUACCUGACUAAGAAGCCCCGGCUAACUACGUGCCAGCAGCCGCGGUGAUACGUAGGGGGCAAGCGUUAUCCGGAUUUACUGGGUGUAAAGGGAGCGCAGACGGCAAUGCAAGUCUGAAGUGAAAGGCGUGGGCUCGACCCAUGAACUGCUUUGGAAACUGUAUAGCUUGAGUGUCGGAGGGGUAAGCGGAAUUCCUAGUGUAGCGGUGAAAUGCGUAGAUAUUAGGAGGAACACCGGAGGCGAAGGCGGCUUACUGGACGACAACUGACGUUGAGGCUCGAAGGCGUGAGGAGCAAACAGG